rnacentral:rRNA from 1 species
CUACGUAGGGGGCGAGCGUUGUCCGGAAUGAUUGGGCGUAAAGGGCGCGUAGGCGGCCCGGUAAGUCUGGAGUGAAAGUCCUGUUUUUAAGAUGGGAAUUGCUUUGGAUACUGUCGGGCUUGAGUGCAGGAGAGGUAAGUGGAAUUCCCAGUGUAGCGGUGAAAUGCGUAGAGAUUGGGAGGAACACCAGUGGCGAAGGCGACUUACUGUACUGUAACUGACGCUGAGGCGCGAAAGUGUGGGGAGCAAACAGGAUUAGAUACCCUGGUAGUCCACACUGUAAACGAUGAAUGCUAGGUGUAGGGGGUAUCGACCCCUUCUGUGCCGCAGUCAACACAAUAAGCAUUCCGCCUGGGGAGUACGGCCGCAAGGUUGAAACUCAAAUGAAUUGACGGGG